UGCUAAUCGGUCCCCCAUGCAAAAGUGUCCCCUUUGAGGCGAUACGUAUAUGCCUUGUUGAAAAAUCAAAUACUCCUCGAAAGCAUAGGGGAAAAAUGCAUGACGCUGGUCAUGGCGGCACGGAAUCGCGGGCGCAAAUACUCCACAUGGCUUCAAUAUAUGCAGUAAAAACUUCAAAGUCAAAGUAUAAAAGUUAAUUGUUUUCCGAAAUCUAGUAGACAUACUGCUGGAAGAAACUUAUAAAACAGAAAUGCUUAAUCAAGGUAUAUCAAGAAAGAACUUUUAAUAAUUAUUUCAAAACAACAAACAAAAUUGCAGGUAAAUGUCGAAAUAUCUACAUUUAUAUAAAAUUACAAUAUUGAGAUGAAACAUUGUCGCGAUAAAAAGGGUAACUUGCAGAAAAAUCUAGAUUUUGCUACAAAACGAAACUAUUGACAAAGUAAUUGCCAAGCAUCAAGGUUUUUGCUGGUUAUUACCAUUUGUUGUGAAUGUAUUGCCUUUUCAUGUAAAAUGGAAGAAACUGACCGCUACUUUUGAUUAUUAUGAAUGUGACUUCGUGGUCCAUAAGGAAUAUGAAAAGGCUGAAUUGUCGCGAGAAAAAGGGUUACCUACAGAAAAAUCUAGAUUUUGCUACAAAACGAAACUAUAUCCCCUAUGCUCUCCUCGAAUUAAAUUGCGUUCUGAAAGCGAGGCUAUCAAGUUACCGUCACAGAGUUACCCUGAAGAACUAGCCUAAAGCAAAAAAGAAAGAACUUCAGAUUUUUUCCAGAUCUCACUUGGAGGUUCAACCAAAUGUCAUCAAAACAUUUCAGAAAGAUAUCACUUGGAGGUUCAACCAACUAUCAUCACAACAUUUCAGAAAGUUAUUUUCUCAGCAUUUUUCGUUCUUUGUCAAAAAAAAAUUUUCACAAAAAUUUCAAAUUUUUUGAACUUUUUUGCAAGUCCAGGGUCAUGAAACUUUUCAAAAAUGGUUAAUACCUUUCUUUUCAAAAUAAGAGCCUAAAAUUCCGCGAAACUCUCUCAAAUGUUGUUCGGAACGUGUAUUGAGACCUUCUUGGUUGUUUUGAGUAAAAAAAGUUUUUUGAAAAAUUUCAAAUUUUUUGAACUUUUUUGAAAGUCUGGGGUCAUGAACUUUUUCAAAAAUUGCUACGUCCUUUUUUCAAAAUAAGAGCCUAAAAAUCACCGAAACUCCCUGAAAUGUUGUUCGGAACAUGUAUUGAGACUUUCCUGGUUGUUUUGAGUAAAAACAAUUUUUUUAAAAAUUUCAAAUUUUUUGAACUUUUUUGCAAGUCCGGGGUCAUGAACUUUUUCAAAAAUUGCUUAGUCCUUAUUUUCAAAAUAAGAGCCUAAAAUUCAGCGA